rnacentral:rRNA from 1 species
AUUGAACGCUGGCGGCAGGCCUAACACAUGCAAGUCGAGCGGUAGAGAGGUGCUUGCAUCUCUUGAGAGCGGCGGACGGGUGAGUAAUGCCUAGGAAUCUGCCUAGUGGUGGGGGAUAACGUUCGGAAACGGACGCUAAUACCGCAUACGUCCUACGGGAGAAAGCGGGGGAUCUUCGGACCUCGCGCCAUUAGAUGAGCCUAGGUCGGAUUAGCUAGUUGGUGAGGUAAUGGCUCACCAAGGCGACGAUCCGUAACUGGUCUGAGAGGAUGAUCAGUCACACUGGAACUGAGACACGGUCCAGACUCCUACGGGAGGCAGCAGUGGGGAAUUUUGGACAAUGGGCGCAAGCCUGAUCUAGCCAUGCCGCGUGAGCGAUGAAGGCCUUAGGGUUGUAAAGCUCUUUCAGAUGGAAGAUGAUGACGGUACCAUCAGAAGAAGCCCCGGCUAACUCCGUGCCAGCAGCCGCGGUAA